rnacentral:misc_RNA from 1 species
UCCGGUUUGGCAACAUGCGACGGGGGUUGCGCUCGUUGCGGGACUUAACCCAACAUCUCGCUCCCUCGCGGGUCAGCCGACUUUCGCCGACUUACCACGAGCAUGUCAAGCCCGGGUAAGGUUCUGCGCGUUGCAUCGAAUUAAACCACACGCUCCGCUGCUUGUGCGGGCCCCCGUCAAUUCCUUUGAGUUUUAGCCUUGCGGCCGUACUCCCCAGGCGGGGCACUUAGUGCGUUUGCGGCGGCACCGGGGGGGUCGAUACCCCCGACACCUAGUGCCCAUCGUUUACAGCGUGGACUAC